CCUAUAUCUAAAUUUCAUGCCUCGAGUAAUUCUGAUUUGUGCUGAAUAUGUCUAUUAAAGAGCUCAUUCAUUCUGCUCGCGAAAAUUCAUGUGAUGGCCCAAGAAGAUGUACUACCAAUUGCAAAAAAACUAUUUCAAGAUGAUCCAACUUGUGGGAAACCUUGUAAUACGAUGGAUGAUUGCUCUAAUGGUUGGUUCUGUCAGGCCUGUUGGAAUUUUAGAAAGACCUGUGGGCCAUUUUUGGGGAUGCCAUAGCCAUGGGCAUGUAAUUUCAGUAUUAUCUUAUUUUCAACAUUUAGUCACUUAUUAGAUAUAUAAAAAUAACAAGCGACGGGAAGUGUUGUUCAAAGAAAAAUGUAUGAUGGAUUCAGACUCUGUUGCUAAGAAAUUAAAUCUUGGUGUAAUGUGUUCAUCAUUUAAAUAAAAGAUCAUCCAAUGUGUGGUGAUAUAUGUUUCCUUCGCUUUUA